AUACUGUGCUGGGAGUUAUUUCUCUUGCAAGCAAUUCUCGUGCAGGCGAACCUGGAUGUGAACGUCCGACCUUUGAACUUGUAUUGGACACUAACCGGAGAACUGUGAUCCUAACAGUAGUCACCGUGGAGCCUAAGACAACAUCGGUUUCAGCACCAAUUCCGUGUUUGCAGAGCACGACCACGGUGAACGAAAUCCGGGUUGAACGACGGGGAGGCACCAUCACUAUUUUUGUUAACGGCAUCCAAGUCAUUCAAUACGAUGGUCUCGGGACUGACCGUCUAGCCAGUACCUUUUGCGGCCUGGAUAUUGGAAAUUCAAAUAAAAGAAUCAGUCUUCAAGGUCAAAUAAACAGAGUGAAACUUGUGAGGGAAUGCUAGUCAUCGUACUGACCAUGCGACUGUAGUAAGAGGAAGCUGAUGAUUUUCCCCAAAAUUACUGACUUCAAAUUGUGUCUUUGUUUCCAAGCACUGUCACUGCAAUUUUGUUUUUCUGGAAACUUGUUAAAAAAUAAUAUACUGAUGAUAUAUCAUUCAAACCAGACAGCAUGAAAAG